UGCCAAAGAAUCUAGAUGUACAAAACCAGUGGUUAAAAGUGUUGAAGAAAAAUGAUGUUAGAACUCUUGUUGUAUGUACUCAACACUUCAAACCUGAAGAUUAUAGAGAAUUCUGUGAUAAGCCACUUUUGAAAAAAAAUGCUAUUCUGCGAGUAAAUGUUUAUGAAUUAAAUACAUACGUACAAUCCAAUGAAAAUAUUCCAAUAAAUUUCCAAGACUCUACAGCCAAAAUGGAUUGUGACAAAGAGAAAAAAA